rnacentral:rRNA from 1 species
AUGGGCGACGCGGCGGCGGAGCACCACCACGGCGUCGGCGGAGCACCACCACGGCGUCGGCGACGAGCCGUUCUUUCGGAUGGAGAACCUUCCUGGAGUGUUGCCCAUUUUGAGCACGAAGGACAAGAGAUCCCUAUAGUACUUCAUGGCUGCUCAAAAUUAGAGAAGGCUACAAUAAUGUUUAAAGGCAGCAAAGGGCCGCCCGUGUAUUCAUGGAUAUGA